rnacentral:rRNA from 1 species
CGGGGGGCAGCAGUGGGGAAUAUUGGACAAUGGGGGCAACCCUGAUCCAGCCAUGCCGCGUGUGUGAAGAAGGCCUUUUGGUUGUAAAGCACUUUAAGCAGGGAGGAGAGGCUAAUGGUUAAUACCCAUUAGAUUAGACGUUACCUGCAGAAUAAGCACCGGCUAACUCUGUGCCAGCAGCCGCGGUAAUACAGAGGGUGCGAGCGUUAAUCGGAAUUACUGGGCGUAAAGCGAGUGUAGGUGGCUCAUUAAGUCACAUGUGAAAUCCCCGGGCUUAACCUGGGAACUGCAUGUGAUACUGGUGGUGCUAGAAUAUGUGAGAGGGAAGUAGAAUUCCAGGUGUAGCGGUGAAAUGCGUAGAGAUCUGGAGGAAUACCGAUGGCGAAGGCAGCUUCCUGGCAUAAUAUUGACACUGAGAUUCGAAAGCGUGGGUAGCAAACAGGAUUAGAUACCCCGGU